rnacentral:tRNA from 1 species
GGCGAUGUAGCUCAGUCGGAUAGAGCGAGGGAUUCAUAAACCCUAGGUCGGCGGUUCAAGUCCGCCCAUCGCCA